GGGGAGUCUUGUAGCUAUUACAUACUUGUUGACUCUGGUCCACCUGAGAGGAUUUGAAGUUGGCUGGGUUUGAAUGGUGUUGAGAGGAAGGGCGAAGGUGUGGUUCAAUUUGAAGUGUAUGUAUGGUAGGGGAGUAGUGGGGCCUUACGUCAAACUCAAAUCGGUUGAAUUUAUUAUUGAGUACCUUUGUUUUAAUGAGGGAUGUGGUUUUCAGUAGCUAAGAUUGCAACAAUAUCAGCUCAUACUGAGCUUUUGAUUGGAAAAGCAUGCUCA